UGAAGUCACCCCCUGGAUUCCCACACUUCCUUUAUAGCUUUCAUUCCUCCCAAAGUAGCUGCAAGAAGGACGUGAGGUGAAUAUUAAAAGCCCCAGGCUGGAAGACCUGCUUAGUUCAACCCCAGUCCCCCUAGCCCCGGGACUUCAAAGCGAAAGGAAGCGCGUGCAGAGAGGGAGGAGGUUUGGGUCCUCCCCGCGGCCCCUGUGAGCUGUGAACAUUUGCAGACCCGCGCCCAGCUCGCACCAGGUGUCCGGAGCUGCUGCCCCGCCCCGCCGCGCCCCGCCCCUCCUGCGUCUGCCUUUCAUGUGGAUCAAGGCCUGAAGAUGACAAGUCUCCUGACUGAUAGAUACACCGAGGCUUCGCUGGUGAUUUAUUGGCUUUCUGCACCUGACUAGAACCACUAGGUCUAUCCGAGGAAGGAAAUAUAUGGGCUUUUCUGACUCCAAGUGGCAGCCCCGGGGCGAGCAUGUGAUGUCAAGCUGGGCCGUGGAAAGCAGAGCUGUGCACCGGCUUGUGUUUUGUAAGCGGGUCCAGGUCAUAAAAGUGUCAGCACGCGAUAUAUUUCUUGUGGGGGAUCCUCUCUGGGCUGUGGCCAGCACCCUUUCUCCAGUGGCUGGCAGCUGAGUUGGCUGAGAAUGUCCCUGUCUCCUUAGUUCAGGAUGAUGCUGGGGCCCAAGGCUCCCAGUCACACCUCUUUUACUUCCUAGAGCAGAGCACGGUGCAGUGAUAGGGGCUUUCUAAAGCCAGAGGCACAGCGUUCUUGUCCUUCCUCCAGUCUGGGGUCUCUCCUGUCACAUUUGGCCUUCAGCAGAGAACAGGCUCAGAGUCUGCAAUCAGGGAUGUCCUGGGAGAAAAGAUGUGAAGGAUGCUGGUCCUCAGAAUUUUAAAACAGACCCGAGAAGGUCCGAACUGAUGUCUAGGAACAGCAGGGGCAAUUAAUCCACAGAAAUAACUGCUGGAGAGGAGAAGCUUGCGCUGACAGUCCCAGAUCAACACAAAAGCUAAAAGAACUAGAGGCUGUCUGGUGCUGACGCGGCAUCAUGUGACUGAAGCUGCUCUCUUCUCCACCUCAGGACACUGUAGUUGCAUUUGUGGGCAAACGCUAAUCAUGGGAAUAUGAUCCUUGUAACAAUAUUAAGGCCACACCUUAGUAGUAGUUUCUCAUCCACAAGCACCAGUGUUCAGAAACAAGAGUCAAGCAGCAAGAUGAAGGUGGCAUUCUCCUGGUCAGACCUAGGUAGUCUGUCUAGAAGACACCGACAUUCUGUGACAAUUAGGAAUGACAAUCGGGGGAGAUAGGAAGCCUUUGGAAGAUAAAAAGGGAUUAAACCAUGCCCAUACUCCAGGUUGAAAGUGUUUAUGUUUCUAAUAAACUGCACAGUCUUUACCUCAAA